UCCAGUUAUAAUAUGCGUUCUCUUAUAUGAAAAGAAUUGUGUUCAUUCAUCACACCCAAAAAAAGAGUGUGAAAGUUGUUUCUCUUUAAAAAAAAAAAAAAGAAUCUUUCUCUGGUGCAUGAGCAAGGGAAGAGAAACACAAUUCACGACACGCUUGACGCCGUCAAUCAAAAUUUCACUCGUUUUCAGCGCCUUCUUCCUGCUCUCUCUUCUAACUUCUCUCCAGAUCUUCAACUCUCUCUCUCCCUCUCUCUCCUAACCUUUUCGAACCUUCUCAGAAUCCCCCUAAUUGAAUUUCUACCCGACUGAAAUCGAUGUUUUGAUCGACGUAUCAGUCUUCAAAAUUAGGGUUUAUACUCUCAUUCACACAGACACUGCCACGCGAAACUGAUGGCGGAACAGCCUCUUCAAUUCGAAGACCCUGCAAUUGAUGUUGUUGACGACGAAGACGACGAUGAUGAUGGUGGCGAUGAUACUAUGGAUGAGUUGGAGGAAACGAAUGUGAAUUCAGUGAACGUUGCCGCAGCGAGUGCGAAUCAAGACGACGUCGUUUUGCCUACUACGCGUGCUAGUGAACUCACUCUUUCUUUUGAGGGUGAGGUUUACGUUUUUCCCUCUGUCACACAUCAGAAGGUACAAGCUGUUUUGCUGCUAUUGGAAGGACGUGAUGGGCAGGCAGGCAUGCCUACUGUUGAACUACCAUUUGAUCAAAGUAACAAGGGCAUGGGCAGUAUUACAAAGCGCUCAAACCUUUCACGAAGAAUAGCUUCCUUGGUCAGGUUCCGCGAAAAACGCAAGGAAAGAUGUUUUGACAAGAAAAUUAGAUACACUGUGAGAAAAGAGGUGGCAGAAAGGAUGCAUCGGAAGAAGGGGCAGUUUGCAUCCUUGAAGCAAAACCCUAGUUCCUCUAAUUGUGAUUCACCACAGAGUGUUGGUCAAGAUGGCACUCCUAAUCCAGGAUCUUUACGUAGAUGUCAGCAUUGUGGAGUCAAUGAAAAUAAUACUCCUGCAAUGCGCCGCGGGCCAGCUGGACCAAGAACUUUAUGUAAUGCAUGUGGCCUUAUGUGGGCCAACAAGGGGACACUCAGAGAUCUCAGUAAGGGAGGAAGAAACCUUUCUGUUGAGCAAAGUGGUCUGGACCCUCGUAUUGAUGUCAAGCCUACUGUUCUUGAAGGGGAAUUGUCUGUCAUCCAAAAUGAACAAGGUUUUUCUAAAAUUCCUUCCGAGGCUAUUGCCGCUGAAGGUUCAAAUAAUCAUACAUUAGACCCCUGUGAUGAGGAAUUGCCUGAAUCUGCAGAACACCUAACAAACACUCUGCCAUUGGAAAUUGAUCAAUCUUCGGAUAAUGAUGAUGAGCAGGCUCCAUCUUAGUUCAAGUUGCUCAACUUGAACUUUGCCAAUGAAACUUAGAAUGGAGCUUCCGGUACAUUUGUAAAUGCAAGGGUUGUGUAGGAACCCCUGGCUGAGCUUUCCAAUCCUUCAGAUACAGGAAUGUCGAAUCCUUCGGAUACAGAUGUUGACAUUCCUGGAAACUUUGAUUAGAAGGUACUAAGUGAUUCAUUAUGCCCGGGGGUUUUAGACAAUGGUCCAUUUGUAGGAUAUUCUUCAUGUACGAAUGGGAUGCAGAUGCAGCUCUAGAAGCAAUGAUACGAGACAGUUUGGAAAGUUGGAUUAUGAUUGUAUGUAACAAGCCAAAUGAAGUAACGAUUACUGAUUAGCAAGGGUGGAGAAGCUCUGCUGUUCCAGCCUGGCAUUAAUCAUUCUACAAUAUUGGUCCUGUUAGAAGUGCCAAAUAUUGUUUGUGUAUAUGUUAUUUGAUGAUAUUCCUUGAGUGUUUGGGCUCGUGUUAAUAAAAUUAUGUCUGAUUGCCUGUCUUUGAUAGUGUCAUUUAGAUCAAAGUCUUGUUACCUCAAAUUUAGAGAUAAAACUUUGGUAGUAGGUUGUGUCACCCAAAGGGUAGACCUUUAAUCUGAAUAUCAUUUCAGUGCUGUCAUGGUGUGCUAGUUCCCAUAUUUGAUGAAGUUUAGGCUUCAGCUUCUGGACUCUUGUGGAGAACAUUUCGAUACUUCUUACAAAUAGACUUGUUUCAAACUCUUGUACAUGUACAUAUAAAUAAACACUAGCUUGUGUUAUGUUCUUCUGUAUUAUUCCAUA